GGGUGCGAUCAUACCAGCACUAAUACGCCGGAUCCCAUAAGAACUCUACAGUUAAACGUGCUUGGGUGAGAGUAUUACUAGGAUGGGUGACCUCCUAGGAAGUCCUCAUGUUGCAUCCC
rnacentral:rRNA from 1 species